rnacentral:rRNA from 1 species
GACGAACGCUGGCGGCGUGCUUAACACAUGCAAGUCGAACGGAAAGGCCCUGCUUUUGUGGGGUGCUCGAGUGGCGAACGGGUGAGUAACACGUGAGUAACCUGCCCUUGACUUUGGGAUAACUUCAGGAAACUGGGGCUAAUACCGGAUAGGAGCUCCUGCUGCACGGUGGGGGUUGGAAAGUUUCGGCGGUUGGGGCUGGACUCGCAGCUUAUCAGCUUCUUUGUGGGGUAGUGGCUGACCAAGGCUUUGAAGGGUAGCCCGCCUGAGAGGGUGACCGGCCACAUGGGGACUGAGAUACGGCGCAGACGCCUACGGGAGGCAGCAGUGGGGAGUAUUGCGCAAUGGGCGGAAGCCUGAUGCAGAAACGCCGGGUGCGGGAUGACGGCCUUCGGGUUGUAAACCGCUUUCGCAGGUGACGAAGCGUGAGUGACGGUAAUGGGUAAAGAAGCACCGGCUAACUACGUG